CCUACGGGAGGCAGCAGUGAGGAAUAUUGGUCAAUGGGCGCGAGCCUGAACCAGCCAAGUAGCGUGAAGGAUGACUGCCCUACGGGUUGUAAACUUCUUUUAUAAAGGAAUAAAGUGAGGCACGUGUGCCUUUUUGUAUGUACUUUAUGAAUAAGGAUCGGCUAACUCCGUGCCAGCAGCCGCGGUAAUACGGAGGAUCCGAGCGUUAUCCGGAUUUAUUGGGUUUAAAGGGUGCGUAGGCGGCCUGUUAAGUCAGCGGUGAAAGUCUGUGGCUCAACCAUAAACUUGCCGUUGAAACUGGUGGGCUUGAGUAUUGUUGAGGCAGGCGGAAUGAGGGGUGUAGCGGUGAAAUGCUUAGAGAGAACGCAGAACCCCGAUGGCGAAGGCAGCCUGCCAGGCCAUGACUGACGCUGAUGCACGAAAGCGUGGGGAUCAAACAGGAUUAGAUACCCGGGUAGUC
rnacentral:rRNA from 1 species